rnacentral:rRNA from 1 species
UACGGAGGAUCCAAGCGUUAUCCGGAUUUAUUGGGUUUAAAGGGUGCGUAGGCGGAUUGAUAAGUUAGAGGUGAAAUGUCCGAGCUUAACUCGGGAACUGCCUCUAAUACUGUUGAUCUAGAGAGUAGAUGCGGUAGGCGGAAUGUAUGGUGUAGCGGUGAAAUGCUUAGAGAUCAUACAGAACACCGAUUGCGAAGGCAGCUUACCAAUCUAUAUCUGACGUUGAGGCACGAGAGCGUGGGGAGCAAACAGG